rnacentral:lncRNA from 1 species
CUCCAGUUCUUCAUCUUUCCUCGACGAUUCUAAAUCGAGAGUUCCGCUUCAUGUGAUUUCAUUUCUUCUCCAGUUCUCCAUUGCCUGAUUGUAAUCCGGAGACACGAUUUCGUCUCCAGUUCUCCAGUCAUCGCCCUCCUCUCUCGCGAUCCUCUGUGUUGUGUCCGUCGAGCAAUCUCUUCUUCUCCUUGACAUCGGUGAGAAAAUCGAUAUAGGGUUUGUGGGUUUGUUGAAAUCGAUCUCCAGGGUUUGUUGGUCUGUUGAAAUCGAUCUCUAAGGUUUGGUUAUGUUUAGAGUUUGAGACUGAUGUAUAUGUUUGAGUUUAGUCUUGUAGCAACGAGUGUUGUAUGUUGAUGUGUAUGUUUGAGUUCAGUUGAUGGAAGCUUUGUUUAUCUCUGUCUAAGCUAUGUGAUAAUGAAUUGGUUUAGUCUUAGUUUAGGUUUGUUCUGUGACUAGCUUGUAACUUCUAGUCUGCUUUACAUGAUAGCUUGCGUAGAGUUCCAAGAUAGCUUGUGUGUGUUCUGUAAACAAGUUUGUGAAGUUCAGUGAAGGAAACACAUUACAUGUUUAGAUCCUUUCCUUUCAAGUAUUGUGUCUGUACGAAUAUUUCCUGAGACAUGAAUGUUACAUAGUAGCAGCAGCCAUGAUAAUAUUAUAUGAGUGUAUAUUACAUAGUAGCAGCAGCCAUGUUCAGCUUUAGCUCUUGUAAACUGUAUGAGCUAACUGUUUUGUUAUCUUUUAUUACAGUAUAGAGUUCACAGAUUUGCUUAUUUGAUGCUGUUGCUUUACUUAUUUGAUGCUGUUUGAUUGCUUGUAUGAUGUUUGUUUGACAGCUUUACAUGACUGCCAUCUCUCUUGUUUUUGCAGAGUGGAGUCACGUAGCCAAGUUUGGAGCUUGGAGGAUACAUGUAAUUUUAAAGUCUUCACGAGACUUGUAGUGAAUUAUAUGAAUAAAAAUAUUUAAACUUUUUUUUUUUUUUUUG